rnacentral:rRNA from 1 species
GACGAACGCUGGCGGCGUGCUUAACACAUGCAAGUCGAACGGUGAAGCGCCUUCCUUUUUGGUGGGUGUGGAUGAGUGGCGAACGGGUGAGUAACACGUGAGUAACCUGCCCCCUUCUUCUGGAUAACCGCAUGAAAGUGUGGCUAAUACGGGAUAUUCUGGGUCUGUCGCAUGAUGGGUCUGGGAAAGAUAUUGUUUCGGUGGGGGAUGGGCUCGCGGCCUAUCAGCUUGUUGGUGGGGUGAUGGCCUACCAAGGCGGUGGCGGGUAGCCGGCCUGAGAGGGUGGACGGCCACACAGGGACUGCGACACGGCCGAGACUCCUACGGGAGGCAGCAGUGUGGAAUAUUGCACAAUGGGCGCAAGCCUGAUGCAGCGACGCCGCGGGAGGGAUGGAGGCCUGCGGGUUGUGAACCUCUUUCGCCAGUGAAGCAGGCCUGCCUCGUUUGUGGGUGGGUUGACGGUAGCUGGAUAAGAAGCGCCGGCUAACUACGUG